rnacentral:rRNA from 1 species
AUUGAACGCUGGCGGCAUGCUUUACACAUGCAAGUCGGGGCGGCAGCGCGGGGGGCAACCCUGGCGGCGAGCGGCGAACGGGUGAGUAACACAUCGGAACGUGCCCAAUCGUGGGGGGAUAACGUAGCGAAAGCUACGCUAAUACCGCAUACGAUCUACGGAUGAAAGCGGGGGAUCGCAAGACCUCGCGCGAAUGGAGCGGCCGAUGGCAGAUUAGGUAGUUGGUGGGGUAAAGGCUCACCAAGCCGACGAUCUGUAGCUGGUCUGAGAGGACGACCAGCCACACUGGGACUGAGACACGGCCCA